rnacentral:rRNA from 1 species
UACAGAGGUGGCAAGCGUUGUUCGGAAUUACUGGGCGUAAAGGGCGCGUAGGCGGCCUUCUAAGUCAGACGUGAAAUCCCCAGGCUUAACCUGGGCACUGCGUCUGAUACUGGAAGGCUUGAGUGCGGGAGAGGGAUGUGGAAUUCCAGGUGUAGCGGUGAAAUGCGUAGAUAUCGUGAGGAAGGCCAGUGGCGAAGGCGAGUCUCUGGACAGUUCCUGACGCUGAGGCACGAAGGCCAGGGGAGCAAACGGG